rnacentral:rRNA from 1 species
UACGAAGGGGGCUAGCGUUGCUCGGAAUUACUGGGCGUAAAGGGCGCGUAGGCGGACAGCUUAGUCAGAGGUGAAAGCCCAGGGCUCAACCUUGGAAUUGCCUUUGAUACUGGCUGUCUUGAGUACGGGAGAGGUGAGUGGAACUCCGAGUGUAGAGGUGAAAUUCGUAGAUAUUCGGAAGAACGCCAGUGGCGAAGGCGACUCACUGGCCCGUUACUGACGCUGAGGCGCGAAAGCGUGGGGAGCAAACAGG